ACAUCGCCUCUUGACAUACAUAAGAGGUCCAGCCUGCCCAGUGACUAAGUUCAACGGCCGCGGUAUCCUAACCGUGCGAAGGUAGCGUAAUCACUUGUUCUUUAAAUGAGGACUAGUAUGAAUGGCACCACGAGGGUUAUACUGUCUCCUUUUUUUAAUCAAUGAAACUGAUCUCCCCGUGAAGAAGCGGGGAUAAAUCUAUAAGACGAGAAGACCCUAUGGAGCUUUAAACAAUUAUAGCACUGGCCCACACCUCUUAUUCUCCUGAGAUAUAAUUAUUAUACAGGCCAACAUGACUAUUAGUUUUAGGUUGGGGUGACCGCGGAGCAAAAAUUAACCUCCACGUUGAACGGAGCUACUCCUGAGCUAAAAGCUACAACUUCAAGCACCAAUAAACUGACAUCAAUUGAC
rnacentral:rRNA from 1 species